rnacentral:lncRNA from 1 species
CUGGGACUGGCCUCAUUGACCUCUUUGGUAGUGGUGAUUCAUUAAGUGGUCACUUCUUGAGACAGCAAUAUCUGCUUGAACUGCUAUUAACAUUUUGAGACCUUACCCAGCUUCCUGUGCAGAGCUUGAAGUCUACUCCACGUUCAUCCAGUCAACAUGUUUUGGGGGACACACAUCACAUCCCAGGUACCGUGUUGAGCACUGGCAAAAUAAUGCAGAGGAUAAAAGAGAAAAAAGUCCUGCUGUCUUAGAGGCAGACAAUAAAUAGUUGAGAGAAUAAAUUCACCAAGUGUCUGCUGAUUAGAAUGUGU